GACGAACGCUGGCGGCGUGCUUAACACAUGCAAGUCGAACGGAAAGGCCCUGCUUUUGUGGGGUGCUCGAGUGGCGAACGGGUGAGUAACACGUGAGUAACCUGCCCUUUACUUUGGGAUAACUUCAGGAAACUGGGGCUAAUACCGGAUAGGAGCGCCUGCUGCAUGGUGGGGGUUGGAAAGUUUCGGCGGUUGGGGAUGGACUCGCGGCUUAUCAGCUUGUUGGUGGGGUAGUGGCUUACCAAGGCUUUGACGGGUAGCCGGCCUGAGAGGGUGACCGGCCACAUUGGGACUGCGAUACGGACCAGACUCCUACGGGAGGCAGCAGUGGGGAAUAUUGCACAAUGGGCGGAAGUCUGAUGCAGCAACGCCCCGUGCGGGAUGACGGCCUUCGGGUUGUAAACCGCUUUCGCCUGUGACGAAGCGUGAGUGACGGUAAUGGGUAAAGAAGCACCGGCUAACUACGUG
rnacentral:rRNA from 1 species